AUGGCCUGGACCCCUCGCCUCCUUGUGCUCCUCACUCACUGCACAGGAUCCUGGGCACAGUCUGUGCUGAGUCAGCCACCUUCAGUGUCUAGGAGCUCAGGAGAGCAGGUCACCAUCUCCUGCACUGGAGGCAGCACCAAUAUUGGUGGCUACGGUGUGAAUUGGUACCAACAGAUUUCAGGCAAAGCCCCCAAACUCCUCAUCUAUGGUAAUAGAAAUCGACCCUCAGGGGUCCCAGAUCGAUUCUCAGGUUCCAAGUCUGGACCUCAGACUCCCUGACCGUCACUAGCUGCAGCCUGAGGAUGAGGCUGUUUAUUACUGCCAGUCUUAUGACAGCAGCCUCAAUGCUUUCACAGUGCUCCAGGCCUACGGGGAAGUGAGACAAAAACUUCCUUUCUCAUCUGCCAGGAGGAGGAUGCCCAGCAGCUCCUUCUAA